rnacentral:rRNA from 1 species
AAACCAACAGGGAUUGCCCCGGUAACGGCGAGUGAAGCGGCAACAGCUCAAAUUUGAAAUCUGGCUCUCGGGCCCGAGUUGUAAUUUGUAGAGGAUGCUUUUGGUGAGGUGCCUUCCGAGUUCCCUGGAACGGGACGCCAUAGAGGGUGAGAGCCCCGUCUGGUUGGACGCCGAACCUCUGUAAAGCUCCUUCGACGAGUCGAGUAGUUUGGGAAUGCUGCUCUAAAUGGGAGGUAUAUGUCUUCUAAAGCUAAAUACCGGCCAGAGACCGAUAGCGCACAAGUAGAGUGAUCGAAAGAUGAAAAGAACUUUGAAAAGAGAGUUAAACAGUACGUGAAAUUGUUGAAAGGGAAGCGCUUGUGACCAGACUUGGGCUUGGUUGAUCAUCCGGGGUUCUCCCCGGUGCACUCUUCCGGCCCAGGCCAGCAUCAGUUCGCCCUGGGGGACAAAGGCAUCGGGAACGUGGCUCUCUCCGGGGAGUGUUAUAGCCCGUUGCGUAAUACCCUGCGGCGGACUGAGGUUCGCGCAUUCGCAAGGAUGCUGGCGUAAUGGUCAUCAGUGAC